AUUGAACGCUGUCGGCAGGCCUAACACAUGCAAGUCGCACGAGUGGCGGACGGGUGAGUCAUGUCUGGGAAACUGCCUGAUUGAGGGGGAUAACUAAUGGAAACGGUAGCUAAUACCGCAUACCAUCAGAUGUGCCCAGAUGGGAUUAGCUUGUUGGUGGGGUAACGGCUCACCAAGGCGACGAUGCCUAGCUGUUCUGAGAGGAUGACCACCCACACUGGAACCUAGACACGGUCCAUACUCCGACGGGAUGCAGCAGUGGGGAAUAUUGCACAAUGGGCGCAAGCCUGAUGCAGCCAUGCCGCGUCUAUGAAGAAGGCCUUCGGGUUGUAAAGUACUUUCAGCGGGGAGGCGUUACCCGCAGAAGAAGCACCGGCUAACUCCGUGCCAGCAGCCGCGUUAAUAC
rnacentral:rRNA from 1 species